rnacentral:tRNA from 1 species
GGGGUUGUGGCUCUGUGGUAGAGCACUUGCCUGGCAUGUGUGAGGCCCUGGGUUCAAUCCUCAGCACCA